rnacentral:rRNA from 1 species
CCCCGCUAAGGGAGUAUUGCGUUGACCCGUACCCUAAACCGACUCAGGUGGACGAGGCGAGAAGCCUAAGGUGCUCGAGACAACUCGGGAGAAGGAACUCGGCAAAUUAACCCCGUAACUUCGGGAUAAGGGGAGCCUCCGAGAUUUAGCGUGAACAGCGCGAAGGUUUUGGAGGCCGCAGAGAAAUGGCAGAAGCGACUGUUUACCAAAAACACAGGGCCAUGCAAACUCGCAAGAGGAAGUAUAUGGUCUGACACGUGCCCGGUGCUGGAAGGUUAACAGGAGAUGUCAGCGCAAGCGAAGCAUUGAAUCGAAGCCCCAGCAAACGGCGGCCGUAACUAUAACGGUCCUAAGGUAGCGAAAUUCCUUGUCGGGUAAGUUCCGACCUGCACGAAUCGUGUAACGACUUCUGCACUGUCUCCUCCCGGGACUCGGCGAAAUUGCAGUGUCGGUGAAGAUGCCGACAACCCGCACCUGGACGGAAAGACCCCAUGAACCUUCACUGUAUCUUGGCAUUGUCUUUAGGCUUAGGAUGUGUAGGAUAGGUGGGAGGCUUUGAAGCGGCGACGCAGUCGCCGUGGAGCCAUCCUUGAAAUACCACCCUUGCUAAGUUUGAGGUCUAACCGCGGUCCGUAAUCCGGAUCCGGGACAGUGUCUGGUGGUCAGUUUGACUGGGGCGGUCGCCUCCCAAAAAGUAACGGAGGCAUCCAAAGGUUCCCUCAGACCGGUCGGUAAUCGGUCGAAGAGCACAAAGGCAUAAGGGAGCUUAACUGCGAGAUCGACGGAUCGAGCAGAUACGAAAGUAGGGCUUAGUGAUCCCGCGGUACAGCGUGGAAAGGCCGUUGCUCAAUGGAUAAAAGGUACUCUGGGGAUAACAGGCUGAUCUCCCCCAAGCGUUCACAGCGACGGGGAGGUUUGGCACCUCGAUGUCGGCUCGUCGCAUCCUGGGGCUGGAGAAGGUCCCAAGGGUUUGGCUGUUCGCCAAUUAAAGCGGCACGCGAGCUGGGUUCAGAACGUCGUGAGACAGUUCGGCCCCUAUCCGGUGUGGGCGUAUGAUACUUGCGGGAACCUGACCUUAGUACGAGAGGACCGGGUCGGACGCACCUCUAGUGUACCGGCUGUCGCGCCAGCGGCAUCGCCGGGUAGCUAUGUGCGGAUUGGAGAAACGCUGAAAGCAUCUAAGCGUGAAGCCAUCCCCAAGAUUAGGUAUCACUGGGUAUAACCCCUGUAGGUCCGUCGGAGACCACGACGUUGAUAGGUCGCAGGUGUAAGCGUAGCGAUACGUUGAGCCGAGCGAUACUAAUAGACCGUGAGGCCUUUCU